UGGUAUGUUUAAACAGUCUCACUCAUAAUAAUAAUAAUAACAAAAGAAAAAAAAAAAGAAAUUUUUCAAAAACGAAUAUUCACGGAUGCUAAUAUAGGAAAAUUUCAGAUUUUCGAAAAAAUGAAAUUUGCUAAAUUUCGUCGGAAAUAUUUAUAAUAAAAUAAGUCAUUUAUGGAAAAGAAAAUUAUUGGAUUGCGUUGGUUAUCUCCCACUAUUCUUCCAGUCGGGAUCCCUCGUGAGCAUCAGGUAGGCCGAGCCAACCCAUGUUUCUAAAAUCCCUUUUUUAAAUGCGUUUCCAGAAUUUGGCGAAGAGUAAAAUUUAUUGAGAAAUUAUCAAUUUUGGGGCCCAUAAUGGUUUGAAAACACGCGUACAUGUACGAUAAUUUUGUGCAUUAAAUAAUAAAAGGCUACUUUCAACUACCACUACUACUACUACUACUAAUAAUAAUAAUAAUAAUAAUAAUAAUAAUAAAAGGCUUACAAGUUUUCAAAUUAUUUUUGAUUUAAAGUAUAAAAAUUUAAUCUUUACAAGCCGGGGAAGAAGCCAGAAAUUUACUCUAUGGUAGGCAAUUUCUAAAAAAUAAUAAUCAACACAUAAGUUAUACCUUUCAUUCAUAAUAUAUAUGUUUAUAUUGACAUCAUUUACAAUUGUCCAUUGGGUAUUUUCAUGAGUUGAUAAUGUUGUUCAAUAAUUUCAGGAGAAAACUAUGGUGCAACUGUAGUACCGUGUUACAGUUGCAUCCGGUCAUUAAAUUUUAAUGAAUCUUACCCAUUUAAGUGGAUUCAAUAACUGAAUACAACUGUAAUAUAAUACCACAAUUACACCAUAACCGAACCCAUAAUUUCAUUACCAAAUUAUACGAAAUGGCUUUCCCAAUAUAUAUAGGAUUUAAGGGCCAUUGGGCUUUUAAUUUGAAGCUAUUGAGUUGCUCAUUUAAUUUUGAAGGGCAAAAGGUCCAACAAUAAAAUCAAAGGACAGAUAUAAUAAAGAUUACAGGGGCAAGACUUGAACAUAAAAUAAAAAACUAAGUAUUUUUUUUUUUAAUCAAGUGGGGGCCGGCAACUGACUCCCAUUGCACCAUCCUAUUAUUAUUGUUUUAUUGAAAAGAGUUUUAUCCUUUUUUUUUUUAGGUAAAUGCUAUGUUACAUAUACAUUCAACAAUAACCACACAAAUUGUAUGGGCUCAUUAUUUAUGUGGUUGUUGUUGAAUGUGUAUGUUACAUUAAUUGUAAUAUAGGGGCUCCCUUUUUUUAACACUAAUAUUAAUUUUAAGGUUGAGAGAUCGAGUCUCUCCAAUGACAUUAAGAGUUUAUUAUUAUGUUGACUUUAGUUAUAUUAGACUUCAAUGUAUAUGUUAUGUUGAUUGUGUAUUUUGUUGAGAUCAGUUGUAUUAGACUUUGAUUGUAUUUCAUAUAAUAUUAAAGCAAAUACUAAUAUGUAUUGUUACAAUAAAAAAAAUAUUGAUAUUAGCAAUCAAAUAUCUACUGAUGAGAAUACCCUAAAUCAAAUCUAUAAUGCACAAUCUAAAUUUUUAUCCUCAUUAAUAUUUAAAAUAUAUGUGUUCCACCCACAAGAAAAAUUUAUCUACACCCACUUAUACAAUGGGAGGAGGAAAUGUUAAGUACCCUUUACAUUUCUUUGUCUGUAUGUUAAAUUCCUUAUACAGUAAUGAUUCCUUUUUCUACCAUGUAAACAUUGAGUAACUAUUAUCGAAUCAUAUUUAAUAAUGUCACAAUUAUUUUUUUUAUAUUUUCAGCUAGGAUUAAUGUCACUAUUAAAAGGUCGUGAAAUUAGAAUUCUGGCUCGACGGGGGGUCAUAACAUGCAAAUAACAAAGGACACACAUUUGUGAUAAAUUCAUGAAAGAGUGCAACAAAGCUGCACAUUCAAUCAAUGAUGCGUCGUGUGGGGAUGAGAGCUACUUGCCUUAUUUUGUCAAGAGCAAAUCUUGUCAACUAAGCAAAUGCACGUGACACACUUUAAUUAAUUAGUACGUUCUGGUUUACAAAGGACAAAGAGGCAGGAACCAACCCAAUCCGUUUGUAGUGGAAACGACGCAUCGCUUAAGUUAAUCACUGUCUUACGAGUGGGGCCCCUUUUUUAAGUUGUAAGAAAAAUAAUAUUACUCGCUAUACCAACAUUUAACUUUCAAUUAUACUUAUUUA
rnacentral:lncRNA from 1 species